AAUGAACGUUGGCGGCGUGGAUUAGGCAUGCAAGUCGUACGGGUCGGUGUAGCAAUACAACGGCAAGUGGCGAAAGGGAGAGUAACACGUAGAUACCUACCCUCUGGUCGGGGAUACCGCGGCAUAACCGCAAGUAAUACCCGAUAAAAUCUCCGGAUCAAAGGUGUGAUUCCGCCGGAGGAGGGGUCUGCGUUCUAUCAGCUUGUUGGUGAGGUAAUGGCUCACCAAGGCUAAGACGGAUACGGGGUGUGAGAGCAUGCCCCCGCUCACUGGGACUGAGACACUGCCCAGACACCUACGGGUGGCUGCAGUCGAGAAUCUUCGGCAAUGGGCGCAAGCCUGACCGAGCGACGCCGCGUGCGGGAUGAAGGCCUUCGGGUUGUAAACCGCUGUCGAGGGGAAUGAAGUGUAGGUGGGUACUCCCAUCUAUUUGACAGAUCCCUGGAGGAAGCAUGGGCUAAGUUCGUGCCAGCCGCCGCAGUAA
rnacentral:rRNA from 1 species